rnacentral:rRNA from 1 species
AUUGAACGCUGGCGGCAUGCCUAACACAUGCAAGUCGAGCGGACGAACGGAGCUCGCUCCUGGCUUCCGUGGCGGACGGGCGAGUAAUGCCCAGGAAUCUGCCCUGCCUUUGGGGCUAACGUCCGUACACGGGCCCUAAUACCGCAUACGUCCUGAGGGAGAAACUGGGGGAUCUUUGGACCUCACGCUAUUAGCUGAGCCUGGGUCGGAUUAGCUAGUUGGUUAGGUAAAGGCCUACCAAGGCGACGAUCCGUAGCUGGUCUGAGAGGCUGAUCUGUCACACUGGAACUGAGACACGGUCCAGACUCCUACGGGAGGCAGCAGUAGGGAAUAUUCGGCAAUGGGCGAAAGCCUGAUCGAGCAAUGCCGCGUGAGUGAUGAAGGUCUUCGGAUUGUAAAGCUCUUUUAGUUGGGAAGAAGAACAGUGAAAGAAAACAUGGCUGUUUUGACGGUACCAACAGAGAAAGCAACGGCUAACUACGUG